UACAGCCAUGUCAUGCUGAAACACAGAUUCUCUUAUGAUUACGAAAGUUAAGCAGUGUUCAACCUGGUCAGUACUUAGAUGAGUGACCACUUGGGAAUACCAGGUGCUGUAAG